GUGGGGAAUAUUGGGCAAUGGGCGCAAGCCUGACCCAGCAACGCCGCGUGAGGGAAGAAGGUCUUCGGAUUGUAAACCUCUGUCCUUGGGGACGAAAAAAAUGACGGUACCCAAGGAGGAAGCUCCGGCUAACUACGUGCCAGCAGCCGCGGUAAUACGUAGGGAGCGAGCGUUGUCCGGAAUUACUGGGCGUAAAGGGUGCGUAGGCGGCUAGGCAAGUCAGAUGUGAAAUCCCCGGGCUUAACUCGGGUGGUGCAUUUGAAACUGCUUGGGUUGAGUGCAGGAGAGGAAAGCGGAAUUCCUAGUGUAGCGGUGAAAUGCGUAGAUAUUAGGAGGAACACCAGUGGCGAAGGCGGCUUUCUGGACUGUAACUGACGCUGAGGCACGAAAGCGUGGGGAGCAAACAGGAUUAGAUACCCCAGUAGUCC
rnacentral:rRNA from 1 species